GAUGAACGCUGGCGGCGUGCCUAAUACAUGCAAGUCGAGCGAGCGGCGGACGGGUGAGUAAUGUAUGGGAAACUGCCUGAUGGAGGGGGAUACCUACUGGAAACGGUAGCUAAUACCGCAUACCAUCAGAUGUGCCCAGAUGGGUUUAGCUAGUAGGUGGGGUAAUGGCUCACCUAGGCGACGAUCCCUAGCUGGUCUGAGAGGAUGACCAGCCACACUGGAACUUGGACGCUGUCCAGACUCCUGCGUGGGGCAGCCGUGGAGAAUCUUGGACAAUGGGCGCCAGCCUGAUGCAGCCAUGCCGCGUGUGUGAAGAAGGCCUUCGGGUUGUAAAGCACUUUCAGCGAGGAGGCGUUGCUCGCAGAAGAAGCACCGGCUAACUCCGUGCCAGCAGCCGCGGUAAUUC
rnacentral:rRNA from 1 species